rfam:Daedalea quercina L-15889 unplaced genomic scaffold DAEQTscaffold_86, whole genome shotgun sequence.
GCCUUCUUAGCUCAGUGGUAGAGCGCGUCACUAGUAUUCCAUCAGGCGAGAAUGCACACCGGACGGCACAUGACGAGGUCGGUUGUUCGAUCCAGCCAGGAGGCA